UGGCCCAUCUGCCUUUCCAGUACCUUAUAAACGGUUCUUUCAGGCUCAGAGCUGUGGACAGAAAGAGCAAGACUUGGGGAAAUGUGUCUUUACCAGACUUCCUAGAAUAUUCCCAAGUCUCUGUGACACCAGGAGUGCUGCGCACUUGGUGCUCAGACACUGCAGAGGGGCAGAGAGCCACAGCUGUUGUGAGAAGAUUCAGGCCCAUGGGAGAUGCGGUUCUGCGGCAGCUGGGGUCUGUGAUCCCUGUGGAACAAGUGGGAGUGGUGUUGCACGUUUGUCUUUAAUGAGAAGAAAUGGCACUUGGAACAUCCCUGAAGCUGUUUAGUGGGGCUCCUGCAAUGAAAUCUGCUGAAAUUCUGGGCUCAGAUGCAGGAUUUUAAAUUUGUGAAGUCUGCGUGCGGCCUUUUCCCACUGAGCCAGCCUGGUUUGCCGCUUCAAAGAUGCCUCCCAGCCCUGCCAAGUUUGGAGUUUACAGCCCCACUGUCAGUGAGUCACACAAGCAUAAAACUAGGUCAGCAUUUCCUCUUCCCUCCCUUUCAA